rnacentral:rRNA from 1 species
CUAAGUUUGAUGGCGACCGGCGCACGGGUGAGUAACACGUAUCCAACCUGCCGAUGACUCGGGGAUAGCCUUUCGAAAGAAAGAUUAGUACCCGAUGGCAUAGUUCUUCCGCAUGGUGGAACUAUUAAAGAAUUUCGGUCAUCGAUGGGGAUGCGUUCCAUUAGGUUGUUGGCGGGGUAACGGCCCACCAAGCCUUCGAUGGAUAGGGGUUCUGAGAGGAAGGUCCCCCACAUUGGAACUGAGACACGGUCCAAACUCCUACGGGAGGCAGCAUG